AUGAGCUUUUUCAAAGUUAUCCUUUUAGUCAGCAUCAGCACACAGUGCCACGCAGACACAGUGAACAUGAGCGUCCUGCUGGAGCAGAAUGUCACUCUGCCCUGCUUCCUGAACUCCAGCUCUGAGAUGGCAUGGUAUCGACUGAGCUCUGAGCACAUUACUUUACUCAUAUCUGCAGCAAGAGGAAACCUUAACAAAAAAGAUUUAGUUACUUACUAUAAUGAGAAUGGCAGUCACUUUGGGCUGGAAGCAGACAGGAGGAUGGACUCGGUCAGCCUGGUGAUCUCUGGGGUCCGAGAGUCAGAUCUGGGGCUGUACUACUGCGCUCUUGGUGUCAGGGCAAAGACGAUGCACUUUGGCACUGCUGUUAGACUCACAUUUGAAGACGCUGAACUGCGGCGUUCAUCAGAAAGUGUGGGCUGCAGGAUGCUGUUGGUCUGUGCUUGUGUUGUUUGUGGGGUUUGCAGUACUCUCUGCGUGACUGUGCUUUGUUACAGACAAGGUUCUUCCAGGGUCUGUUGCAUCAGCUGCGUGACAGAAAACUCAAAUGUCAAGGCAGCACAAGUACAGUAUUCCAGUCUCCGGUUCCUCAGACGGUCCAGAGCCACGGCUCCUGCUCCAGUCAAUGUGAUAUACGCAGCUAUAAACAACCACACGUCCUGAUUUCACCGCAUUUAACCAGCUUCAGCUUCAGAGUUUAACAAGUCUACUAUACCAACAUCUAUACUCUGAACCUAUGCCAAGCCUGUGGGAGAAAUCCAUAUAAAAUCAUUUAUACAAUACCAUUCAAAAGUUUGGGGUUGGAACUAUUUGUAAUAUUUCUGAAAGAAGUCUAUUUUGUUCACCAAGGCUACAUGUAGUUGGUUUAAAGGGGUCAUAAAAGUGUCUGUACACAACCACUAAUGGUAAAAAUCCACCCGGUGUUUUUAUUUUAUUUUGUUCUCAAACCAGGCUGUUCUGAGAUUCCUGUGAGAGUGACGUAGUUCUGCACAGGCCACUCCCACGAUCGUUGAUUGACAAGGCCACCAUUGUGUGCAGGGGAAGACAAUAUGAAAGAAUGACUCCUAAUAAUCAAGGUGUUCUGUUGGUGGAUCUUAUAAUGAACAUAGCAGUCUCAUUUACUCCUGACAUCUGAGCUGCUGUGGUUUAGCUUUGUUUUUGAAGGGAAUGCGCCCCAAUGUACCUAAAUGUGCCUAUGUUUUAUGAAUCUUUGCAGAUCCCCUUUCCUAAUAAUUUCAAGUUUCACAGCUAAAGUAGUUAUAUUACAUGUGUUAUAUAACUAUAUUCUAUGGUUUGUUUUUCAUUUGUUUGAUUAUAUAUAAGCUUUUGUAGGAUGACAAUAAAGCUAAGACUCAGUUUCUAUAUAAGGUGUUUUUGAAUGUAUUCGGUUUAUAUGAACAUAUCUCAUAUUGACUAGGUAUCCAGUGUAAAUGAGUGUGUUGUUUUCAUGACGGGGUCAGUGUGGAGUAAAUGACAUGCUGUCUGCUGCUCAGCUGUCUGUCUGUCUGUCUCCAGUGCUGCACACCCAGAGACGCGUACUGGAUUUCCCCCUGGACACACACACACACACACAUUAGCACAGCUAAUAUAGAUAACUCUAGCCAUAUUUACAUCGUAUUUAAAUUGACAAGUAUAUUUGGCUGUUGAUUGGUGGAGAAAGAAACUCACUGCAUCCUCCUGAGGGUCCAGCAUCCAGGGGCCUGAUAAACAACACAAGAUCACUGUUUAAAAAUCACCUUGGAUCAAACCAUGUCUGCAUAAUGAUCUCAUGAUAUUAAUGCAAAGAAUAACAUUCCACCCCUACCUUCAUUUGACAUGCUUUGUAAUUGUUGACCAGAUGCAAUAUUUGUCAGCUCUGAAAAGAAUUAAAUAAAUCAAUCAAUUAUCCAAUUAUGUAUUGAUUUAUUUAUUUGUAUUUUACUUGUGUGUGUAUGAGUAUGUCUUUUGGUCAAAAGAUGGAUUCCAUGUCCAAUGCACCUGUUUCUUUUCUGAAGUUUCUUCUCCUUCUUCUGCUUUUCCAGCCGAUCGUCACAGACAGAAGUCCAACACAAACCAUCGCCAGUAUGCACAAGGCCAGCAGGACGGCCACAGUCACUAAACACACACGUUCAUGUUUUACAGACCGUACAGUGCUAUAGUGGCAGGGUUUUUUGUAUUUAUUUUACUUUGAGCUACAUUGAGAUCUGAUGUUUGUCUAGUACUAUAAUGUUGUAAAGAAAUUCUAAUAUAUUUGAUACAUUUUAACAAAUAAAAACAAAAGCACGGUGCUGUUUUUGCGCUGGACAUUCUCGUGUAGAAUGCAGAAGUCAUUGUUCUGUUGAAGUGUCUUGCUCCAGCUCUAGGUCAAACCCUUAUACAACCCGCACAGUGUUUUACGGUCGGAUGAGCUUCUUAUUACUGAAUGCGUUUGGUCAGCUCUCAAGAAUUAUCAGUUGAUUUACUCUUUAAAUAUGCUGAUAAUCUAGAGGUCCACAUACUCUCUGCAGCACAGAUGUUAACGCGUCCCCCUUUUCCCUAUAGAUGUGUGUAUUGUUUGUCUAACUGGAUUCUCUUUGUCUAGUUAUACAAUGAAAUUCAAAUUCGAUAUGGAUUGAAUUUAUACAGAAAAUACUGAAGAGCUUACAGACUUUCUUGUGAUACUAGGGGAAAAAUGAACAGAACUUACGAUAUUUGUUUAUAUCUGGACUGCUGUUUUCAAUUUCAGUCGAUGCUGUGAAGAAGAAACACACUCUUAUUUCAUUACACUGUCUAGAGAAUAAAAUAUAUUGUAUACUGAGAAUUGUAAUACGUUUAAUGCAUGGAUUCAUGUCAUGUGUAGCAGUGUCAAUACAUUAGAUAACAUGAUCUCUAAAGAAUGAUAAUACACAGGUUUGAAGAUUUGCUGCAUUGAGCUAUUCUUUGAUUGUGAAAUGUUAGGAACAUGUUCACAGUUGAUGUGAUGAUCUACACCUGGUUCCUCUGCGUGGACACCGGUGUGAACUAAAGUCAUUAAAACACAGCUGAUUUAGUGGCACUGCAAAACACUUCAGAAAAGUGCAGAGUUGUAAGGCCACAGCUCUCUGAAUAGAUUGGCAUGGCUAUGGAUAUGAUGAUGUGAAUGUGUUAACAGAAUAGAUGUGCUACACUGCUUCUGCUGACGUACAGAGACUUGCUUCUGCCAGAACAUCCACAGACAUGCUGCGGUGGCACAUAUAACACACAUGAAAUCACCCCCAGAGCAGAAUUCACAAGAAAUGAGCAAUAUAAGCUGUUAAGCAUAUGUAAAACAAGCUGCCACACCAAAAGUCAUCCCAUCAAACAUUAAAAUUUCCUCAUGAAUGAAUGCAGAAUUCCAGAGGGUUUCAAGACUUACAGCAAACACAGAACCAAAGGGUUCACUGACAGCCUUCUGUGGCUCUCAGCGAAGGCGGACACAUGUUCUCCCUCUCCUCCCCUUACCUUCCCUGCUUGCUCUCUCGUCUCGUCUAUUGUCAAAUACUUUGAGAGACUUUCUCUGCACUGCUCUCCAAACUGAAAAAUCAUGGUCUCUAAACGAAAUUGACACCAUCUUCUCAACGAGGAGCUUGGGUUCGGGGGAACCUGACUGCCCUGCCUGGAAGCUGGCUACACGAUGGACGUGCGCCUUCACCGCUUUGUACCUCCAGUCUCUCAAGCGGGUCUGUGACCAGGACCGGAUGACUCCUGCCUGCACUGGAUUACCUCGACCCCCCCCCCCAUUCCCCUCCCCUUUUGCAAAGUCGUGUGUUUUCAGUAUUGAUUAUGUGCUUUUGUUGCUGAGGUGUUUUUCCUGUUGUCACUCUGUUCUUCCAAAGGAGCAUAGUCUGGGUGUUGUUGUUUUCUCCUCGCUUCCCUAAUGUUAUGCUGUAUCCUUCUUCCCCUGUACUGUAUUUUGUUGCCUUGUACCUACAUGUGCAAUGACAAUAAAGUUGACUCUAAUCUAAUCUUAAGAAUUUGUACAAAAGUCUUUGAUGGUGCUGACAGGUGUGAGUUUGGCCCAUUCUUCCACAAAAACUUCCUUCAAAGCUCGAAGGCUCUGUGGCCUCUUCUAUGACCUCUGACCUUUAGUUCUUAUUUUCUAUUGGAUUCAAGUCCAGCGAUUGGCUGGUCAUUCUAUCAGCUUCACUUUCUUUCUCUGAAACCAGUCAAGAGUUUCCUUAGCUGUCCAGCCUUGUUUCAUCUUCAUCAUCCUUGUACUGUUGGUGUUGGAACUGAAGCUAAUUUGCUUUCAGGAUCGACAGGAUUGCUUUCUAAUUACUGAUAGAUUUCAGCUGGUGUCUUGACUUUCAUGUCUUUUUGCGCCUCUUCAUGUGUCCAAUGCUUUUUCCCUGGUGUCAUUCCAUUUCAUUUGACAGAACUUAACUUGUGAAGUUGUGAACUGUGGAUGUGGUGUUCAGUGCUACCUGUGGUCACCGUGAGGAAAGCCAUCUCUCUGUUGUUGCACAGAUAAAGCCCAGAGUCCUGCAGCCGGAGACUGGAGAUAAUCAGGUGGUCUGUGGUGUGGGUGAAUCUUAAUGUUGGAUCAGCUCUCUCUUUCUUUAUGGUGCUGUUUUUAUAAAGUGUGGAGAUGAACUCUUUUCUGGAGUGAGGAGUGCGUUUGAAUGCCCAUCUCUGCUUCAUUUUAUCAGAUGUCUUACAUGGCAGAUAAAUAGUUGUGCCCUCAGCAACUGUAAAGUUAUGACCUGGAAGGAAAAAUAGAAAGAAAGCUUAUGUAAGAAGAAAACAACUCUAAGAACACAUACAGUAAGUAAGAAGAAAUGAAUGCAUGCUGGUUUGUGUACAGUGUAAAUGUCACUGAAGUGUUUGUCUGUAUUGCAUGAUUCACAUUAACACAUUUAGCUGAUGCUUUUAUCCAAAUCGACUUACAAUUGCUGUAUAUAUCAGAGGUCAAACGCCUCUGGAGCAACAAGGGUUAAGUGUCUUGCUCAGAGACAAAUUGGUGUCUCACAGUGGAUUCGAACCUGG
rnacentral:lncRNA from 1 species